rnacentral:rRNA from 1 species
AUUGAACGCUGGCAGCAUGCCUUACACAUGCAAGUCGAACGGUAGAGGGGCAACCCUCGAGAGUGGCGAACGGGUGAGUAAUGCAUCGGAACGUGCCCAGUAGUGGGGGAUAGCCCGGCGAAAGCCGGAUUAAUACCGCAUACGACCUACGGGUGAAAGGGGGGGAUCGCAAGACCUCUCGCUAUUGGAGCGGCCGAUGUCAGAUUAGGUAGUUGGUGGGGUAAAGGCCUACCAAGCCGACGAUCUGUAGCAGGUCUGAGAGGACGACCAGCCACACUGGGACUGAGACACGGCCCAGACUCCUACGGGAGGCAGCAGUGGGGAAUUUUGGACAAUGGGCGAAAGCCUGAUCCAGCCAUGCCGCGUGCGGGAAGAAGGCCUUCGGGUUGUAAACCGCUUUUGUCAGGGAAGAAAUCCUUUGGGCUAAUACCCUGGGGGGAUGACGGUACCUGAAGAAUAAGCACCGACUAACUACGUGCCAGCAGCCGCCGUAAUAC